UGCGUAGGGGGCAAGCGUUGUCCGGAUUCAUUGGGCGUAAAGAGCGUGUAGGCGGCCAGGUAGGUCGGUUGUGAAAACUGGAGGCUCAACCUUCAGAGGUCGACCGAAACCAUCUGGCUAGAGUCCGGGAGAGGAGAGUGGAAUUCCUGGUGUAGCGGUGAAAUGCGCAGAUAUCAGGAGGAACACCGAUGGCGAAGGCAGGUCUCUGGGCCACUACUGACGCUGAGAAGCGAAAGCAUGGGGAGCGAACAGG
rnacentral:rRNA from 1 species